CAAAUCCAGGAGAGUGUCUUGGACAAAAGCACAAAAGAAAAAAUAUAUGCAGUCAAACAGUAUUAUCUCCACACCAUAGAAAGAAGAUACGUUUCCCACUUUACUAUAUGAUCAUCCCCAAAUAGAGAUCAUGGAAAAGACUAAUUUUUGCCCUUUGAAAAACACCCAAUUAAUUGUUGAAUAACCAUAAAGUGAUAAAAAGCAAAAAGGAAAUGAAUUCCUAAGAACUUAUCUGAAUUUCCCAUAAAACAACAAAAGAACUAAGACAGACAAGUUGAAA